ensembl:lncRNA
GGAAGAACAGUGAUUGGCCAGACUUUAAGGGUUAUGAAUCCCACGGACCAAUCACUGUAUGAGUGGAGGGGAGCAACCGCUGUGAUUGGCCAAGCCUGAGUCACAUGUCCAUCCCUGUGUCCUGGCAGUAGAAUAAGGCAAUGGCAGUCCCAGCAGUAUCGCAAGCUGAGAGUUGAGGAGCCCGACUUUGUCCUGGGCCCCUCAGAGGCCAGCUAAUGCAGAUGGAGCUCCAAGGCUGUGGGCAGCAUUGCGUGAAACUCUGCUUGGAACAGAAGAGCAAGAGAGUAAGCUUCCCUGAGCAGGGGAGAGUAGGUGGGGAGGGGUCAAAGGGAAGGAACAGAGACAAAGCAAGAUUCAGAGAACUCAGAAGAAGCAGGAAAUUGGAGCCAGAGGUGACUCAAGGAUGCAUAAGCCCUGGAAUUACCAGAAAUCAUGAGGAGGGCAUCAGCCACUAUCUUGGCUUCUAAUAUCAUUUUCCAAUAAAAGGAACCAGGGCUCUUUACAGAACAUAAGGGCUGGAGCAAGAAAUAUACGAGAUGAGCCUGGAGCAUCUUGUAGCACCGGAAAAUAGGAAAGUGCUCAACAAAUAUAAAAAGCCCCACAGGACAAGUGCCCAGAUCAGAUAUGAGUUCUUAUUGGCUAACCAUACUUCACACCAGAAUCUUGGAGGCACUGUUCUUCCUUGUUAAGGUUCUCACUAGAGGGCCAUUUUCUGCAAUCAAUCCGCUCGACAAACACUGGUGGAGCUCAGUAGUCGCUGGUGUCGACGCUGUAUGGUCACCUGCCCUUGGUCAAAGCUCCUACCGGCCAUUAUGAACGCAGGCAGGGAGAGGUCAGAGGCUGAGUCUCAU